rnacentral:rRNA from 1 species
UCUGAGGUACUACGGGGGUAGGGUGAAAUCUUAUAAUCCUUGUAGGACCACCAGUGGCGAAGGCGUCAGACUGGAACGCGCCUGACGGUGAGGGACGAAAGCCAGGGGAGCGAACCGGAUUAGAUACCCGGGUAGUCCUGGCCGUAAACGAUGCAUACUAGGUGAUGGCACGGCCAUGAGCCAUGUCAGUGCCGUAGGGAAACCGUUAAGUGUGCCGCCUGGGAAGUACGGUCGCAAGGCUAAAACUUAAAGGAAUUGGCGGGGGAGCACCACAAGGGGUGAAGCCUGCGGUUCAAUUGGACUCAACGCCGGGAAACUUACCAGGGGAGACAGUAGGAUGAUGGUCAGGUUGACGACCUUACCUAACGAGCUGAGAGGAGGUGCAUGGCCGUCGCCAGUUCGUGCUGUGAGGUAUCCUGUUAAGUCAGGCAACGAACGAGAUCCGCACCUUUAUUUGCCACCAAGAAGUUGCGACUUUGUUGGGAACAAUAAAGGGACCGCCGUUCGAUAAGACGGAGGAAGGAGCGGGCAAAGGCAGGUCAGUAUGACCCCGAAAACCCCUUGGGCUACCAGCGCGGGCUGCAAUGAUAUGAACAAUGGGCUGUGACUCCGAAAGGAGAAACCAAUCCCGAAAUCAUAUCACAGUGGGGAUUGUCGGCUGUAACCCGCUGACAUGAACGUGGAAUCCCUAGUAAUCGUGUGUCACCAUCGCACGGUGAUACGUCUCUGCUC